rnacentral:rRNA from 1 species
UAAUACGGAGGGUGCAAGCGUUAUCCGGAUUUACUGGGUUUAAAGGGUGCGUAGGCGGGCAGGUAAGUCAGUGGUGAAAUCCCCGAGCUCAACUUGGGAACUGCCGUUGAUACUAUCUGUCUUGAAUAUCGUGGAGGUGAGCGGAAUAAGUCAUGUAGCGGUGAAAUGCUUAGAUAUGACUUAGAACACCGAUUGCGAAGGCAGCUCACUACUCGAUCAUUGACGCUGAGGCACGAAAGCGUGGGGAGCAAACAGGAUUAGAUACCCUGGUAGUCCACGCCCUAAACUAUGGAUACUCGACAUCAGCGAUACACUGUUGGUGUCUGAGCGAAAGCAUUAAGUAUCCCACCUGGGAAGUACGAUCGCAAGAUUG